rnacentral:rRNA from 1 species
UACGUAGGGACCAAGCGUUGUCCGGAAUCAUUGGGCGUAAAGAGCGUGUAGGCGGCUUGUUAAGUCUUGCGUGAAAUCUCGGGGCUCAACCCCGAGCGGUCGUGAGAAACUGGCAGGCUAGAGUGCGGGAGAGGAGAGUGGAAUUCCUGGUGUAGCGGUGAAAUGCGUAGAUAUCAGGAGGAACACCUGUGGCGAAAGCGGCUCACUGGACCACAACUGACGCUGAGGCGCGAAAGCUAGGGGAGCAAACGGG